rnacentral:lncRNA from 1 species
UGUGCCCACUGUAAGGACAGGGCCUGGUGUGCCCCUGGAAGGAGGUGAACCCCAUCUCCAAGUUCUGGGAUGUUCCAGGCAGUUGGCCAGAGCACAGCGGGUCCGCUCCAGCCUCUCAGCCUGGACGAGGCUCCAUCUGGCCACUGGCUUGCCCACCCCCAGUUCCCCCAAUCCCUCCGUGACUGGCGGGAAAUGGGCAUGAGUGUGAGGCCUCUGCCAGGGCACAGAGUGACUAACCCUCCCCAGCUGUGGGGUUAGAGUCCCCCAAAAAUUGUGGUUGCAAAACCCAUGUUUGCAAACUCAAGACCUUGUUUAAUAAAAAAGAGUAAGGAGGCCAGGCACUGUGGCCAGGGGGAGGAGAGCUGGCAGGGGCAGCGAGAUGGGGGCUGCACCGUACUCUGGGCACUGGGUUCCCUCGGGCAAUGUCCCUGGUGGGCCAAGGCUGCCCUUUUUGUCCCUCUACCUGUGCUUGGCAGUCCAGGGGCUACGGAAUUUGAGAGGGGAGGCCUUUGGGUCUCACCCAAGCCGGGUGAUGGCAAGGGAAAGGGACUCUCAUUUCCCAGCCCCAGAGAGACCACGGUCCUCCUUCAGUGAAGUACCCACAAGACAAGAAGGCCCCAACUCCCCCUCCCCUAGGCCACUCCUGUCCCAAUCUGGCCCCUGCCCCAGGUGUGGUGUGGAGGCCACGACCCCACCCCAA